AAGCGAGCGAGCAGCUGUGUAGCGAUGCCUGUGACCUAACCCGUCUCCCCCGCGAACCCCGCCUCCUCUCCUGCCGCCGCCGCCGCGCCCCCUGCUCCCCUUCUACAUGCUCGCCGCUGCCCCGCCUCGAGCCAGCCGCCGUUCGGUAAAAACCUAACCUCCACACCCACGCCCCCACCAGACCCUCCCUCCUCUUCCUCGACCUCCCUCCUAGCUGCCGCCGCCUCCCCUCCGCGGUCAACCUCCUUGUUGCCGGUGAUGCUCCAGCGCCUUGGCCCGGUCGCCUCUGUCUCCUGCCGUGCUCUCUCGUGCUGCUGUGCCUCCUAGACGACGCUCGCAUGCCUCGGAUGCGCCCCCUUCUAUCCCGAGCUCCAGAUCGAUGGCUGCAGCGGCGAGAUGAAAUUGCAACACCUGGUACCGAGACCAUGCUGGGAUUUUCUGAUCAUGUCAGGAGCUUUGUAAAUCCUGUAUGGACGUCUUCUUUGAGUGGAAAUUAUUCGAAUACAACAUCACGGACAGGAAAACAGUUGGACAUCAGCCAUGAAAAGGUUCGAGGUCUUUCACGGAGUUUCCUACCAGCUAUUCAUCUAGAGCACUAUCCUUGUGAAAAUUUCUCAUUUUCUCCUCCACCUAUUGAUAGGAGACGCACUCGACAAGGGUCAUGUCCUGAUUGUUAUGUGCCUGUUGACUAGACCCUGGCAUUGAUGCCAGCUGCUAAUCUGUCCGAAGACAAUUACAAUUUGGUACUCAUAGGUCCAAUAGUGGUUCUUUGUUUUGUGGUUAUCCAUCCCUGGAACAACGAGAUAUGUCUUAUAUGACAUAAAAGACUCGAUGACAGUACAUUGUGGAUCUGUGAGGGGGGAAGAUACAUGGUCUCGAUACUGCAUUCGAUGUAGACGAAGCUGGUCUGUCUGAGAUUUGCUUCUGCUAUUUUCGGUUCCAAAACUAUUACUUCAUCGGCUCUUUCCUAAUGUGCGGUAUUCACUCUAGAUCGAUGGGAAACUUAAACUUGUGAAGGAUCCUUAUCAGCUGUUAAAGAGAUUCUUGUGGAGGAAAAAUGUGCGCUUCACUAUUUCCAGGUAUUAUAGACGCUUUGAUGUCUUUGAGGAAGCUGAGGCCAACAAGGCUGGAAGUAUGAUAAUGCUUCAAUCGAUAACCAAAUGAAGUUCUACAAGACAGAGGGUUUAACCCAUUAUUCAUCAGCUAAGCUCCUUAUUACAAGCGGCAAAUGGUUCUUCCUACUGAAUUCUGAUAUAGAAAUAUUUCUCCUGAGAACAUAAGGGAUACAUUUAUCUUGAACAGAUGUCCUUGAGGGUUGUGUAAUUAUAGGAGAGCCCAUACCCAUCACCAAUCUCUUCACACGCCUUUGGUUCAAUGAAGUUGAUCGUCCCACCUCAAGAGAUCAGCUAAGCUUUAGCACAACGAGGGAUAAAAUAAGAUCAAGAGUUCUUUUUGACAACUAAAUAAGAUCAGGAGUUAAUUGGACUGCAGACAUGUUCCUGGAUUGUGGAAGGCGUGAAUUUGUUCAGGUACUUUUGAGUUAAUGCUUUGUGCGGCACAUCAUUCCAUUUGCAACCUGAAGUACUACUGCAACUUGGUACCGAGUGUAGACUUUAUCAAAUUACACAAAAAAAAUCCAGCAUAACAAUGGAUCUUCGCAUCUAAAUAGGGAGCUGUUUGAAAACAACAUCAGUGGAUCGAUGAUUUUUUUGGAAAGAACACAAUGUCAGGAUCUUUGACAGAAUAGAAUUUUACUGGAGUUUGAGGCUAUAUUAUUGAUGAGGUAUCCUGGAGAGCUGCAAGUUGCUUCUCUUGUUUUGAAUCAUGUUCUUGUUGUUUUCUCCCUGCUGAGAGUGUAUUAGUGUACUCAUCAUGAUCUCUGAGGCUAUGCUUACAGUUGCAUCAUUGUUUUCUUGAAAAUUGACCCUCUAAAUUCAUGUUCUCUUAUAACUGAUCCUGUAAAAUCUUCCCUGUAUUUUAAUGAAGUUUCACGUCAUGCCUUU
rnacentral:rRNA from 1 species